GUCAACGAUCAUACCACGUUGGAACCACCGGUUCUCGUCUGAUCACCGAAGUUAAGCAGCGUAGGGCGCGGUUAGUACUUGGAUGGGUGACCGCUUGGGAAUACCGCGUAUCGUUGGCA